rnacentral:rRNA from 1 species
AAUCAACGCUGGCGGCGUGCCUCAGACAUGCAAGUCGAACGAUUAAAGCUCUCUUCGGAGAGUGCAUAGAGUGGCGCACGGGUGAGUAACACGUAAGUAAUCUACCCCCGAGUGGGGAAUAACAGUCGGAAACGACUGCUAAUACCGCAUAAUGCAGCGGCACCGCAAGGUGACAGUUGUUAAAGGAGCAAUCCGCUUGAGGAGGAGCUUGCGGCAGAUUAGCUAGUUGGUAAGGUAACGGCUUACCAAGGCUACGAUCUGUAUCCGGUCUAAGAGGACGGUCGGACACACUGACACUGAAUAACGGGUCAGACUCCUACGGGAGGCAGCAGUCGGGAAUUUUGGGCAAUGGGCGAAAGCCUGACCCAGCAACGCCGCGUGAAGGAUGAAGUAUUUCGGUAUGUAAACUUCGAAAGAAUAGGAAGAAUAAAUGACGGUACUAUUUAUAAGCUCCGGCUAACUACGUGCCAGCAGCCGCGGUAACAC